rnacentral:rRNA from 1 species
CGACUAAGCCAUGCAAGUCGAAUGUAGCAAUACAUGGCGUACUGCUCAGUAACACGUGGACAACCUGCCCUUAGGACGGGUAUAAACCCGGGAAACUGGGUAUAAUUCCCGAUAGAUCUCGUCUGCUGGAAUGCAUCGAGAUCCAAAGCUCCGGCGCCUAAGGAUGGGUCUGCGGCCUAUCAGGUAGUAGUGGGUGUAGCGUACCUACUAGCCUACGACGGGUACGGGUUGUGAGAGCAAGAGCCCGGAGAUGGAUUCUGAGACACGAAUCCAGGCCCUACGGGGUGCAGCAGGCGCGAAAACUUUACAAUGCUGGGAACAGCGGUAAGGGAACCUCGAGUGCCAGGUUACAAAUCUGGCUGUCGUGAUGCCUAAAAAGCAUUAUAUAGCAAGGGCCGGGCAAGACCGGUGCCAGCCGCCGCGGUAACACCGGCGGCUCGAGUGGUAACCGUUAUUAUUGGGUCUAAAGGGUCUGUAGCCGGCCGGAUAAGUCUCUUGGGAAAUCUGGCAGCUCAACUGUCAGGCUUUCAGGGGAUACUGUCUGGCUCGAGGCCGGGAGAGGUGAGAGGUACUUCAGGGGUAGGGGUGAAAUCUUGUAAUCCUUGAAGGACCACCAGUGGCGAAGGCGUCUCACCAGAACGGACCUGACGGCAAGGGACGAAAGCUAGGGGCACGAACCGGAUUAGAUACCCGGGUAGUCCUAGCCGUAAACGAUACUCGCUAGGUGUCGGCCACGGUGCGACCGUUGUCGGCGCCGUAGGGAAGCCGUGAAGCGAGCCACCUGGGAAGUACGGCCGCAAGGCUGAAACUUAAAGGAAUUGGCGGGGGAGCA